UCAAUCACAUCAUAUCUUCUAUCUCAUCUUCCAGAUCUACAAUCACUCUCUUUUAUCAUCAUAUUUCACACAUUCCAGAAGAUUCCGAUGAGGUAGACAUCCCCAAUAAGUAUAGGAAGUGCCGUAUGACACUUUAAACCGCACCGGAUCACGGCGGCGCGUGUCCUUCCACCAAUUCACCACCUCUCCGAUCAUUAACACGAUCUCGAGCUCCGGUUUUUGGUCUGGAUACCUCGCUUUGCCUCUUCCGCUGUGUGUGUGAUUUUGAACGGGUCUCUGAGGUUUCUUCUUCUUUAAGUUUCACACAUUUUCUCACACUCACGCGCUCCCACGCGCCGCCGAUGUUUACCUAACAUUUAAGGUUCGAUGCACGUCACCGGUAGCCAAAAGUGCAGUGAGGUUUCUUCUUCUUUAAGUUUCACACAUUUAUCACACUCACGCGCUUCCACGCGCCGCUGAUGUUUACCUAACAUUUUAGGUUCGAUGCCACGUCACCGGUAGCCAAAAGUGCAGUGACCGUUGAUGCUAUGAUUGAACCGAUAAUAAACUUUCGUGUGUUUCGCAUUUUAUAGGAACCUGUGAAUCGAUAAUAAUCCGUUCGUUCACGGAGCCGUUUUUUGCGAUUACAUUUUUUUAAAAAUUUAUAAUGAUAUUUUUUUGAUUUUUUUUAAAAAAAGUUGUGCCUGUGAUGAUUCAUUUUAAAAAUGUUGGAAUUACCGACUGAUUUUUUUGUGAUGACAGAUCGACUAGCUGAGGCACUUUUUUUUAAAAAUUUUGGUUUUGUAGUUAGUGUAAUUAAUUUGCCUCCUCUUUCGGCUGCAAGUUUAUUGAUUUGAUUAUCAAGUUUAUUCUUGCUGCUUUGUUCUAGAGGCAUAAAUAGGUUCAUUGCGAGGGUGUUAUUCUUCCUUGAUUUUGUUUCUUAAUAAUAAUCAUGGCUAAGCCUUCCUCUGGCAUAUUUUUUGUUUUAACUAAUGGAAUGAAUUAUUUGGCAUUUAC